rnacentral:rRNA from 1 species
AGCGAACGCUGGCUGCAGGCCUAACACAUGCAAGUCGAACGAACUCUUCGGAGUUAGUGGCGGACGGGUGAGUAACACGUGGGAACGUGCCUUUUGGUUCGGAAUCACUCAGGGAAACUUGUGCUAAUACCGAAUGUGCCCUUCGGGGGAAAGAUUUAUCGCCAUUAGAGCGGCCCGCGUCUGAUUAUCUAGUUUGUUAGGUAACGGCUAACCAAGGCUAAGAUUAGUAGGUGGUCUGAGAGGAUGACCAGCCACACUGGGACUGAGACACGGACCAGACUCCUACGGGAGGCAGCAGUGGAGAAUCUUGCGCAAUGAGCGAAAGCCUGACGCAGCCAUGCCACGUGAAUGAUGAAGGUCUUAGAAUUGUAAAAUUCUUUCACCGGGAACGAUAAUGACGGUACCCGGAGAAGAAGCCCCGGCUAACUUCGUG